rnacentral:rRNA from 1 species
GCAUAGCUCAAAGUUGGAACCUCCUGGCCUUAGGUUAGGCGGAUUGUAAACUAAAGUUCUCGAGUAGUUUGGUUAGCCCGGUAAAUAAGUUCUCUGGAAAGGGACGACAAAGAGGGUGAGAUCCCCGUUUUUGGCCGGAGCAUAAUCUUGCGUUUGCUUGGGAAUGAAGAGUCAGGUUGUUUGGUAUUGCAGCCUAAAGUUGGAGGUAAAUCUCUCCUAAAGCUAAAUAUUGACGAAAGACCGAUAGCGAACAAGUACCGUGAGGGAAAGAUGAAAAGCACCUUGAAAAGGGGGUCAAAAAGUACGUGAAAUUGCUGAAAGGGAACCGUAUGAAAUCAGCUUGGCCUUGUAGUCAUCAGCCUGAACUUUGGUUUGGGUGCACUGGCUACUAGGUACAGCCUAGGACAAUUUUGUUUGGAGGAAAAAAUCAGGGGAAAUGUGGCCUCGGCUUUUGGUUGAGGUGUUAUAGUCCUUUGAAAAAUACUCUGGGCGGGAUUGAGGAACGCAGCAAGCCAUUUGGGAUGAACUGGGGGUGCUUAUUCGUGUAGGGCAGGAAAUUUCUAUUCAGGUAGUGUUCUGUCAUGCAUGGGUAACUCGCCCACUUUUUCUUUUUCUUGCUUAGGUCGUAGGCAUAAUGAUUUUAUAUGAC